rnacentral:rRNA from 1 species
AUUGAACGCUGGCGGCAUGCUUUACACAUGCAAGUCGAACGGCAGCGCGGGCUUCGGCCUGGCGGCGAGUGGCGAACGGGUGAGUAAUACAUCGGAACGUGCCCAGUAGUGGGGGAGAGCUCGGCGAAAGCCGGAUUAAUACCGCAUACGACCUGAGGGUGAAAGCGGGGGAGCUUCGGACCUCGCGCUAUUGGAGCGGCCGAUGGCAGAUUAGCUAGUUGGUGGGGUAAAGGCCUACCAAGGCGACGAUCUGUAGCUGGUCUGAGAGGACGACCAGCCACACUGGGACUGAGACACGGCCCAGACUCCUACGGGAGGCAGCAGUGGGGAAUUUUGGACAAAGGGCGAAAGCCUGAUCCAGCAAUGCCGCGUGUGUGAUGAAGGCCUUCGGGUUGUAAAGCACUCUUGGCGGGAACGAAAAGGACUGUGCCAAUACCACGGUUCGAUGACGGUACCCGCAGAAUAAGCACCGGCUAACUACGUG